GUAUUAUAUAGAGGCAAAAAAUCAAGGGGCAAAAAAUUCAAUGAAAGUACAAAAUCUGUAAUCAUGUAUGACUUUUGCAAAAAACUAUUGAUGUAGUUUAAUUUCUCUAAAAAGUACAUUUCUCUGAAAGCAUCUGGAUUUUUUUAUCUAAAGUAGUUUCCAGGAUGUGAAGAUUUUAUGGAGUUAUAUUGAACUUUGAUUAAUUUUGUCACUCCUUUAAACUGAAUCAUCGCUACUAAAAAAAUGUCUUGCAUCUAUUAAUGGUAUCAUCAAUUCAUCAUUCUGUAAAAAGUUAAUCAAAAUCGGUGUUUUUUAAUUGGGUAAUUUUCGUAGACUACAGGGCCGGGUUCCAGCGAAUGCGCUGAACCUGCCUUGCACCAGCCCUGUGCUUCGUUUUAAAAUUGCAUA
rnacentral:lncRNA from 1 species